CCUACGGGAGGCAGCAGUGAGGAAUCUUGGUCAAUGGACGAGAGUCUGAACCAGCCAAGUAGCGUGAAGGAUGACUGCCCUAUGGGUUGUAAACUUCUUUUAUAUGGGAAUAAAAUGUUCCACGUGUGGGAUUUUGUAUGUACCAUAUGAAUAAGGAUCGGCUAACUCCGUGCCAGCCGCCGCGGUAAUACGGAGGAUUCGAGCGUUAUCCGGGUUUAUUGGGUUUAAAGGGAGCGUAGGUGGAUUGUUAAGUCAGUUGUGAAAGUUUGGGGCUUAACCGUAAGAUUGCAGUUGAAACUGGCAGUCUUGAGUACAGUAGAGGUGGGCGGAAUUCGUGGUGUAGCGGUGAAAUGCUUAGAUAUCACGAAGAACUCCGAUUGCGAAGGCAGCUCACUGGACUGCAACUGACACUGAGGCUCGAAAGUGUGGGUAUCAAACAGGAUUAGAUACCCGAGUAGUC
rnacentral:rRNA from 1 species